rnacentral:rRNA from 1 species
GCUGGAAUUGCUAGUAAUGGCAGGUCAGCAUACUGCCGUGAAUACGUUCCCGGGCCCUUGUACACACCGCCCGUCGCACCAUGAGAGUUGGGAAUACCCGAAGCCUGUGAGCUAACUUUAUAAGGAGCAGCAGUCGAAGGUAGAAUCAAUGAUUGGGGUGAAGUCGUAACAAGGUAGC